UUCUACGGCCAUACCACCCUGAAUUUGCCCAAUCUCAUCUGAUCUUGGAAGUGUAGCAGGGUCAGGGCCUGCUUAGGCCCUGACCUCAGAUGGGAGACCAAACAGGGAGGAAGACAAGUAAUUGGAAU
rnacentral:rRNA from 1 species